CAGCCGCCGCGGGAAUACGUAGGGCGCAAGCGUUGUCCGGAAUUAUUGGGCGUAAAGAGCUCGUAGGCGGUCUGUCGCGUCUGGUGUGAAAUCCCGAGGCUCAACCUCGGGCUUGCAUCGGGUACGGGCAGACUAGAGUGCGGUAGGGGAGACUGGAAUUCCUGGUGUAGCGGUGGAAUGCGCAGAUAUCAGGAGGAACACCGAUGGCGAAGGCAGGUCUCUGGGCCGCAACUGACGCUGAGGAGCGAAAGCAUGGGGAGCGAACAGGAUUAGAUACCCCAGUAGUCCCUGUCUCUUAUAC
rnacentral:rRNA from 1 species